GGGGCUGUCGCCGGAGUUGUUGCCGUCGUUGCUGGCGGCGGUGCACAGGCGUCGGCGCCGUACCCGGCUGACCCCC
rnacentral:tRNA from 1 species